rnacentral:rRNA from 1 species
AACGAACGCUGGCGGCAUGCCUAACACAUGCAAGUCGAACGAGACCUUCGUGUCUGGUGGCUCACAGGUGCGUAACGCGUGGGAACCUUCCCGUAGGUUCGGAAUAACUCCCCGUAAGGGGUGCUAAUACCGGAUAAUGUCUUCUAACCAAAGAUUUAUCGCCUUUGUGUGGGCACGAGUUGUAUUGGCUAGUUGGUAGGGUAAAAGCCUACCAAGGCGACGAUACAUAGCUGGUCUGAGAGGAUGAUCAGCCACACUGGGACUGAGCCACGGUGGAGACUCUUACGGGAGGGAGCAGUGGCGAAUACUGCAAUACCGCCGAAAGGAUGAUCGCGUACUGCUGCGUGAGUGCUGAAGGCCUUAGGGUUGUAAAGCUCUUUUACCCGGGAUGAUAAUGACAGUACCGGGAGAAUAAGCUCCGGCUAACUUCGUG